rnacentral:rRNA from 1 species
AUGAAGGGCAGAGGUGUCAAAUUGAAUAAAGGGGAUGUGACCAGACUAUGGUUCGAUGAACUGGAAGGAAGGAUACCAUUUAAAGAAAAGUUUCCAGUACUUUUUGAGAUAUGUGUUGAACAAAACUGUACUGUUGAUAGAAUAGAAUGUCUAAAUCAUAUCACCUCCUUUAGGAGGAGGAUGUCUCUUGAGAUGAGGAAUCAAUGGGAUGAAAUGAAAAGGGAGGUACUGGCUCUCAAACAAAAUGAUUUACCUGAUGAAAUUUACUGGAAGUUUGAUAAUUUUGGUAUAUAUUCAACCAAAUCAAUGUACAGAUGGUUGGAAAACGAUAUUGCUGGUUCCAAUUUCAAAUGGAUUUGGGAUGCUAAACUCCCCUUGAAAAUACAAAUCUUCUUAUGA